rnacentral:sRNA from 1 species
GAUUGCCUGCACCCCGUAUCUCAUUGAGUGGCUGAUGGUCGUUGCGUCCAGUUUGUUGGAACUUAUGCGCUCAACGGGAUCAUGUAGUGCCGACAUGCAUAGGACAUUGUUGUGCUGCGCGUUGAUUAUUCGUUAUAGUUGCCGCCGGAGUAGGACCACCGAGUUUGCAGCGAGUGUGUGACAAGAACAACAACAGCGUCAACAAACUGUUGUUAGAUUUUGACGAAGUGGCGGCUGCUGUCAACGUCUCGUUUCCCAAACAAAACAGAGGUGAUCAACGGUUCACGUCCUACAAGAUUUAUUUGUUCGCCAAUUGGAAUCAGUUGGAUGCGGAAGCUUCCUGUCAAGAUGCUCAUCUUUCAUCUCACACAGUUUAUGAUAUUAGCACGGAACAAGAUUUUCUCGUCAGUUUGCGAUAUGUCUACUCCGGGUUCUAUCACCUGACAGUUGUCCCUUGGAUCAACAAUACGAUCAGUUUCCAGUCAAUUAAUGCUUAUUUCGUUGUGCGAACUACGCGCCUUCCAAUGGCAGUUCAGAACUGGACUACGCAGUUCAUCAUCCAUCCCCUGCCAAUAUAUUCCAGUAUUGUCAUCCAGUUUCUUCCAGCUGAUCCGGAGUAUGAUUUCAGUCUGUAUGAGGUUUUGUUAUCGGAUUGUGACCCUACCUCGUUAACCAUUUCCGUUGGACAUACGUCAAUUUGCUAUGCAAAUCAAGAAUGCACUUUUGAGCAUUUAUCUCCCGGGAAAUACUGCGCUUUUGUGCGGCCUAUUGAUCAGCGGUGCAAUUAUGGCAACGUAUGGCAGGUCAAGGAUCACUGUAUUGUUCACAGUGAUGUGAUCGAGCUUGCUCAUUCUCCACCUUCAGCUAACUUGGAAUGGUUACCCACGGGAUCAGUUAUAAGAGACAGGGUUGGGAAUCACUCUUCGACGAUGUUGGCCGCCAUGGUGAUAAGCCUUGUCAUAGCUACGGGAUUCGUGGUAGCGUUAAUCUAUCAAAUCAAGAGAAAGCGAUCAGCUUUAAGGAGUACCCAUCACAAAUUUUCAGCCGCCCAUUUAACGGAAGUUACAACUAACCAACGGUAACACAAAAAAGAUCGUUUUACUGCUAUGGUUGCGUGACAGCUGCCAGCUGAUGCAAGCAGGUUGAUGAGUUGAAAGUUAAACUCAGAAGACAAAACGCUAAAAUUGUCGAUAUUUACGACGAUGAUUUGUACGAUGAGCUGUCCGUGGAUCCCAUUCACUGGUUAAAUGAAAUCAUGGCUACCCAAGAUUUACGCAUUGUUGUUAUUGGAUCACCCCGAUUGGAACAGCAUUUCGCCCAUGAGAGUCGAUCUGAAAAUGAAUUGGACAUGUUAGAAGGCCUGGUACUAUAUGCCAUAAAACAACUUUGGCUUAUGAGAGCAGCUAGCCAUUCUCUCUACUCGACUACUUUCUUCGUUCGGUUCUCCAAUAUUUCGUAUCACGGGCAGACCAACGAGUUGACACCUUUUCGCUGUUUCAUGUUACCUAUGCACUGUGAAGAACUUAUUUUUUACAUAAAUAAUUAGCAGCUUUAAAAGCUGACAAUUUA